GCAGCGGCCCCUAAUGGUGACAGUUGUUAAAGCGGGGGAUCGUAAGACCUCGCGUCUGAAGAGGAGCCUGCGGCGGAUUAGCUAGUUGGUAAGGUAACGGCUUACCAAGGCGAUGAUCCGUAGCCGGCCUGAGAGGGCGGUCGGCCACACUGACACUGACAUACGGGUCAGACUCCUACGGGAGGCAGCAGUCGGGAAUUUUGGGCAAUGGGCGAAAGCCUGACCCAGCAACGCCGCGUGAAGGAUGAAAUCCUUUGGGGUGUAAACUUCGCAAGAACGGGAAGAAUAAGUAAGAGCUAACAUCUCUUACGAUGACGGUACUGUUUGUAAGCUCCGGCUAACUCCGUGCUAGCAGCCGCGGUAAUAC
rnacentral:rRNA from 1 species